rnacentral:rRNA from 1 species
ACGUAGGAGGCGAGCGUUAUCCGGAUUCACUGGGCGUAAAGCGCAUGUAGGCGGUCGUCUAAGUCCGCGGUUAAAGCCCCCGGCUCGACUGGGGGAGGUCCGAGGAGACUAGUCAACUUGAGGGCAACAGAGGCACGUGGAACUCCCGGUGUAGCGGUGGAAUGCGUAGAGAUCGGGAAGAACACCAGUGGCGAAGGCGACGUGCUGGGUUGCACCUGACGCUGAGAUGCGAAAGUGUGGGGAGCAAACGGGA